rnacentral:rRNA from 1 species
GACGAACCACACAAACGUUAUUCGGAAUUACUGGGCUUAAAGGGUGCGUAGGCGGCGCGGAAAGUUGGGUGUGAAAUCCCUCGGCUCAACCGAGGAACUGCGCCCAAAACUACCGUGCUCGAGGGAGAUAGAGGUGAGCGGAACUUAGGGUGGAGCGGUGAAAUGCGUUGAUAUCCUAAGGAACACCCGUGGCGAAAGCGACGUGCUGGCCCUCUUCUGACGCUGAGGCGCGAAAGCUAGGGGAGCAAACGGG